rnacentral:rRNA from 1 species
AGUGAACGCUGGCGGUAGGCCUAACACAUGCAAGUCGAACGGCAGCACAGUAAGAGCUUGCUCUUACGGGUGGCGAGUGGCGGACGGGUGAGGAAUACAUCGGAAUCUACUUUUUCGUGGGUGAUAACGUAGGGAAACUUACGCUAAUACCGCAUACGACCUACGGGUGAAAUCAGGGGAUCUUCGGACCUUGCGCGAUUGAAUGAGCCGAUGUCGGAUUAGCUAGUUUGCGUGGUAAAGGCCCACCAAGGCGACGAUACGUAGCUGGUCUGAGAGGAUGAUCAGCCACACUGGAACUGAGACACGGUCCAGACUCCUACGGGAGGCAGCAGUGGGGAAUAUUGGACAAUGGGCGCAAGCCUGAUCCAGCAAUACCGCGUGGGUGAAGAAGGCCUUCGGGUUGUAAAGCCCUUUUGUUGGGAAAGAAAAGCAGCAGAUUAAUACGCCGCUGUUCUGACGGUACCCAAAGAAUAAGCACCGGCUAACUUCGUG